AUACGGAGGAUGCGAGCGUUAUCCGGAUUUAUUGGGUUUAAAGGGAGCGUAGGCGGGAGCUUAAGUCAGCGGUUAAAUGGUGCGGCUCAACCGUGCCCUGCCGUUGAAACUGGGUUUCUUGAGAGUGCAAGAGGCGGAUGGAAUUCAUGGUGUAGCGGGGAAAUGCUUAGAUAUCAUGAAGAACUCCGAUUGCGAAGGCAGUCCGCUGGGGCACGUCUGACGCUGAUGCUCGAAGGUGCGGGAAUCAAACAGGAUUAGAUACCCUGGUAGUCCGCACGGUAAACGAUGAUUACCCGCUGUCGGCGGUAGACAGUCGGCGGCCAAGCGAAAGCGAUAAGUAAUCCACCUGGGGAGUACGCCGGCAACGGUGAAACUCAAAGGAAUUGACGGGG
rnacentral:rRNA from 1 species